rnacentral:rRNA from 1 species
AGGUCACUGGGCCGCAACUGACGCUGAGGAGCGAAAGCAUGGGGAGCGAACAGGAUUAGAUACCCUGGUAGUCCAUGCCGUAAACGUUGGGCACUAGGUGUGGGGCUCAUUCCACGAGUUCCGUGCCGCAGCAAACGCAUUAAGUGCCCCGCCUGGGGAGUACGGCCGCAAGGCUAAAACUCAAAGAAAUUGACGGGGGCCCGCACAAGCGGCGGAGCAUGCGGAUUAAUUCGAUGCAACGCGAAGAACCUUACCAAGGCUUGACAUGCACCGGUAACACUCAGAGAUGGGUGCCCCGCAAGGUCGGUGUACAGGUGGUGCAUGGUUGUCGUCAGCUCGUGUCGUGAGAUGUUGGGUUAAGUCCCGCAACGAGCGCAACCCUCGUCCCAUGUUGCCAGCGGGUUAUGCCGGGGACUCAUGGGAGACUGCCGGGGUCAACUCGGAGGAAGGUGGGGAUGACGUCAAAUCAUCAUGCCCCUUAUGUCUUGGGCUUCACGCAUGCUACAAUGGCCGGUACAAAGGGCUGCGAUACCGCGAGGUGGAGCGAAUCCCAAAAAGCCGGUCUCAGUUCGGAUUGGGGUCUGCAACU